UAAUCAUUUCCAAGGCUUUUAGAAUGUAGCUUGUUAAUUGCUGUGGACUUGACAUUUAAAAAAAAUGCCUCAUUAAGUUUGCCUUUUGUUACCUUGCUAGCAUUCAACCAAUGGGGAACAUUA